rnacentral:tRNA from 1 species
GGUUGUGACUCAGUGGUAGAGCGCUUGCCCAGCAUGUGUGAGGCACUGGGUUCAAUCCUCAGCACCA